UAGGACGGCCAAGUCACCCUGUUUGGCCUGGGACUGUCCUAGUUUUAGCACUGAAGGCCUGUCAGUCCCAGGCACACUGAGAUGGUUGGUCACCUUAAUUUACC
rnacentral:miRNA from 1 species